AAGUUUUUACGGGAUCGAGGCCCGUCGGUCUGG
rnacentral:tRNA from 1 species